rnacentral:sRNA from 1 species
GCAUGUCAUGGUGACACAUGCCUAUAGUCCCAGCUACUCAGGAGGCUGAGGUGGGAGGAUGCUUGAGCCCAGAAGUUCUGGGCUGUAGUGCACUAUGCCCAUCUACGGGGUGUGCAGUAUGGUGACCUUCAGGGAGCAAGGGACCACUAGGUUGGAAGUGGAUCAGUUUAAAACUCCUGUCCAGAUCCAUAGUGAGAUCAUGCCUGUGAGUAGACCCUGCAUUGCAGCCUGGGCAACAUAGUGAGACCUCGUCUCU